GCUGGGCGUGGUGGCACACGCCUGUAAUCCCAGCUACUCAGGAGGCUGAGGCAGGAGAAUCGCUUGAACCUGGGAGGCGGAGGUGGCAGUGAGCUGAGAUCACACCACUGUACUUCAGCCUGGGCAACAGAGUGAGACUCUGUCUCAA
ensembl:misc_RNA Metazoa_SRP Metazoan signal recognition particle RNA